rnacentral:tRNA from 1 species
GGCUUCGUGGUCGAGCGGUAAGAACACUUGCCUCUCAUCUUGGAGUACUGGGUUCGAUUUCCGGUCGAGGAGCUA